UACGGACUGAGAUAAUGGUUAACAGAGACAAACGGGGGCAUUUGUAUGGUCCCGUGAGAGGUGAAAUUCUUGGACCGUGGCCAGACAAACUACAGCGAAUGCAUUUGCCAAGAAUGUUUUUAUUAAUCAAGAACGAAAGUCAGAGGUUCGAAGGCGAUCAGAUACCGCCCUAGUUCUGACCGUAAACGAUGCCAACUAGCGAUCCGCCGAUGGAAAUUAUAUUGCCUUGGUGGGGAGCUUCCCGGAAACGAAAGUCGUUCCGGUUCCGGGGGAAGUAUGGUUGCAAAGCUGAAACUUAAAGGAAUUGACGGAAGGGCACCACCAGGAGUGGAGCCUGCGGCUUAAUUUGACUCAACACGGGGAAACUCACCCGGCCCGGACACUGUGAGGAUUGACAGAUUGAUAGCUUUUUCAUGAUUCAGUGGAUGGUGGUGCAUGGCCGUUCUUAGUUCGUGGAGUGAUUUGUCUGGUUUAUUCCGAUAACGAGCGAGACUCUAACCUACUAAAUAGUUGGUACAUACUCUUAGUGUAUACAGCUUCUUAGAGGGAUUUGCGGCGUUCAGCCGAAAGAAAUUGAGCAAUAACAGGUCUGUGAUGCCCUUAGAUGUCCGGGGCUGCACGCGCGCUACACUGGCAAUUUCAACGUGCUUGUCCUACCCUGAAAGGGGCGGGUAAACCAUUGAAAAUUUGCCGUGAUUGGGAUCGGAAAUUGCAAUUAUUUUCCGUGAACGAGGAUUUCCAAGUAAGUGCGAGUCAUCAGCUCGCGUUGAUUACGUCCAUGCCCUUUGUACACACCGCCCGUCGCUGCCCGGGACUGAGCCAUUUCGAGAAAUUUGGGGACCGUUGAUUUAAUUUUUCUAAAUUACUUUGAUGGAAACCAAUUUAAUCGCAGUGGCUUGAACC
rnacentral:rRNA from 1 species